rnacentral:rRNA from 1 species
UGGGGAAUCUUGGACAAUGGGCGCAAGCCUGAUCCAGCCAUGCCGCGUGAGUGAUGAAGGCCCUAGGGUCGUAAAGCUCUUUCGCCUGUGAAGAUAAUGACGGUAGCAGGUAAAGAAACCCCGGCUAACUCCGUGCCAGCAGCCGCGGUAAUACGGAGGGGGUUAGCGUUGUUCGGAAUUACUGGGCGUAAAGCGUACGUAGGCGGACUAGUCAGUCAGAGGUGAAAUCCCGGGGCUCAACCCCGGAACUGCCUUUGAUACUGCUAGUCUUGAGUUCGAGAGAGGUAAGUGGAAUUCCGAGUGUAGAGGUGAAAUUCGUAGAUAUUCGGAGGAACACCAGUGGCGAAGGCGGCUUACUGGCUCGAUACUGACGCUGAGGUACGAAAGUGUGGGGAGCAAACAGGAUUAGAUACCCCCGUAGUCC